CAAACUAUAUGAAAAAAUUCUGGAACCGCUAAUACAUUGGUAGCCUUAUGGGAACUUUAUGGGGGGGGGGGAGCGGGUCUGUAGUAACAAAACUUAUCCCUCACCUAUUCACUUAACAACAAUGCUUUAGGGUUAACAGAAAAAUGUUAUCAACAGCCUAACCUGUUUACUGUGAUAGCCCACCUACCAACCAUAUAAUUAAUGUUAGUGUCGAAUUGCACAAAUCUGAUUGGUCACUUGUCACUUCAUCAAGUGAGCAUCAGCUGAUUUGAAUUGUCACUUCAUGUGGAGCCAACGGAAGCGGUAGUAUUUUGAAUUUCUCUCUGGACUUUCAUGAUGCUAGGCAGUUAUAAACAUACUCCUUGGAAGUAUUUUAGCAGUACUGUAUUCACUAUCAAGUGGAUACUCAAGUCUCGGUAACUACUGUAAGUGAAAACUCAAUCCAGUCAACUCAAUCAUUUUAGUAGGAAAGCAUUAAUGUUUGUUUGAAGACGUAUCUGUGAAGGCCAGAAAAUUACCUGACUUACUAAAGCAAGAGUGAAACUCCGAGAAAUGUUAGUACAAGUCACAGUGAUUUAGUAUUUCAAACUAGAUUCGUUCAACGGCAUAAUUCAUACUAAUUUAGCUUGGUACCAUCGGACAAGAAAAGGCAUGGUAAUGGACAGUUGCUGCUGCAAUAUCACAAAGAAUGCUGGUUUAUGAACACCUGUAACACAAAUGGUUCUUGAAUAUUGUUUUACAUAAUAAACUCUUGUAGUAGGACAACAUUACGAAAAAAAUGCUUAUUUAAACCGGACUGUAAAAGCAAAGAACUAUGUAGAAUAGCCUUGAACUUGAGGUACAGUAUGUUUAGCAGUAAGACAUUAGCAAAAUGAUAAUAUAUGAAGGGGUAUGCUAGUAAAUGAGACCCUAGGGAAUUAAAGUCCCUACCGUAUGAUGUUUGUUGGUGUUUUAAAUUAAAGAAAUUAUGGUUUGUAUAUGAACUCAUAAUGUAUUUUGUAAGUCUGCAGAAGUUUAUUAAAGCCAUUUUUACCAAUUGGAACUGGGACCAUUGCAAACCAAUUGGAAUUGGGGGCCAGUUAAAGUUGAAGAGCAGUUGAAUUGUCCAAAAACACACAACACCAACAUUUUUUUUUAAAAAGAAUACACAGAUUGUCUAUAUAAAAUUGUUCAAUUUAUAUAUACACUUUCUAUAUACAGUAAUUGUAUUGAAUUUCUAUUCGCAUAUUUAAUGUAUUUUUAUAGGUUUUUUUUCUAUAAAAUGUUUAUAGAUUUAUAAGUGGUUUUUAUAAAAUUGUUUAUAGAUUUUCUAUAGUUUUUUAAGGUUUUUUUUAUAUAAAAUUUUCAUAGACUUUCUAUAGAAUUUUAAUAGAAUUUUCAUAGUUUUUUUAGGGUCUCACUAAAAGGCGCAUACCACCGCAUGCCGCCCAUAAUCGACGUUUAUUUUUCUUUUUUAAUGAAUUAUAAUGUGAAAUAUUAAUGCAAAUAUUACA
rnacentral:lncRNA from 1 species